GAUGAACGCUGGCGGCGUGCCUAAUACAUGCAAGUCGAGCGAACGGACGAUAAGGUUGCUUCUCUGAUGUUAGCGGCGGACGGGUGAGUAACAAUUGGAUAACCUCCCUAUAAGACUGGUGGAACUUCGGGAAACCGUAGCUAAUACCGGUUCAUAUUUUGAACGGCAUGGUUAAAAAGUGAAAGACGGUCUUUCUGUCACUUAUAGAUGGAUCCGCUCUGCAUGAGAUAGGUGGUAAGGUCACGGCCUACCAAGGCAGCGAUGCGUAGCCGACCUGAGAGGCUGAUCGGCGACCCUGGAAGGGGAACACGGUCCAGACGCCUACGGGAGGCAGCAGAAGGGAACGUGCCGCAAUGGGGGGAAGCAUGGCGGAGCAAGGGCGAGUGAGUGAUGAAGGUCUUCGGAUCGUAAAGCUCGGUUAUUAGGGAAGAACAUCUGUGUAAGGAAACGUGCACAACUUGACGGUACCUAAACAGAAAGCCCCGGCUAACUACGUG
rnacentral:rRNA from 1 species